rnacentral:rRNA from 1 species
AGCGGAGGAAAAGAAACUAACAAGGAUUCCCCUAGUAACGGCGAGUGAAGAGGGAAGAGCCCAAGAUUGAAAGCUGGCGUCUUCGGCGUCCGCAUUGUAAUCUCAAGAAGUGUUUUCCGCUUCGGACCAAGCCUAAGUCCCUUGGAAAAGGGCAUCAUAGAGGGUGAUAAUCCCGUACAUGGCUUGGAGCGCCCGAAGCUUUGUGAUACGCUUUCUAAGAGUCGAGUUGUUUGGGAAUGCAGCUCAAAAUGGGUGGUAAAUGCCAUCUAAGGCUAAAUAUUGGGGAGAGACCGAUAGCGAACAAGUACAGUGAUGGAAAGAUGAAAAGAACUUUGAAAAGAGAGUUAAACAGUACGUGAAAUUGCCAAAAGGGAAGGGUAGGAGGUCAGAGAUGCGGCCUGGGAUUCAGCCUUGCUUUUGCUUGGUGUUUUUCCCAGAUUGCAGGCCAACGUCGGUUUUGGGCACUGGAGAAGGGUAGGAGGAACGUGGCACCUCUCGGGGUGUGUUAUAGCCUCCUACUGGAUACAGCGACCGAGACCGAGGACAGCAGCGUACUCGCAAGAGCGGGCCUUCGGGCACCUUUACGCUUAGGGCGUUGGCAUAAUGGCCCUCUACCACCCGUCUUGA